rnacentral:ncRNA from 1 species
AUAUAGUAAAAGGGGAGCGAAACUGCUGAGAGGUAUGCUGAAAUGCACUACGACCCUGAACCUGAUUUGGAUAAUGCCAACGGAGGGAUGUGGAAACGAAUUUAU